rnacentral:misc_RNA from 1 species
GUGUUAAAGAAAGUGAUGACAGAUGGGGAUAUAUGGAUAUCACCUGGUCUGAUGCUUGAUUUCAAACACUGUGUUUUCUUUCUUCUGCUUCUUAAAAGAAUGUUUUUGUUAACGACUGCCUCAAUAAGAUUGCUUCUUAGCAAGGCAGUAUCGAUCAUUGUAUUUUUAUACUUUUUACACUACCCAGUUGGAGGGAUGAUAGUGUCAAUAAGAUUGUUCAUGCAUUGCAUCUAAGUGCAAUGCUUCAAUCACAAUGAAAAACAAUGGUAUUCUGCCUUCCAAAUUAAAUCCACUGAAUUUAGCUUUUACAGAUCAGUAUCUGACUCUUAUCAACAAGCUUACCUUGUACCAAAUUAUCUUCAUUUAAUUGCUGAUGAACCAUGUUAACCUCUUGCUACUAGCUAGACUGCAGUACAUCCCCAAGAAAAUUCCAUUUACCCAAGAUAUAUAUAUUCCAUGGGGCUCCAUCAUCAGUUUCCCCAGAGAAUCUUCCUAGUAUACCUAGCCAAGUUGGUCUUCAACUUUUCAUUCAAGUACUGAGUCAAUGUAUACAGCUGCACAGAACUUAAACAGUCAGUAGAACCAGCAAGCAAUAAUAUAUAUAGCUUAUGGACUAGGCAAAUCAAUAAGCUGUUAGUUUCUUUUAAACUGUUGCAGGUGUUGAUCAUUGUCUGCAGUAUAUAUACUUUUGCGAGGAUAACUACAUAAAUUAACA